rnacentral:pre_miRNA from 1 species
UUUUUAGUGUAAGUAUGUCCCAGAUGAUAUUUGGGACAUAUUUACACUAAAA